CGUUUUAUUUGCAAUCACACAAGAUGAGUCACAGAAGUCAGGCAAAGAGGGGAAAAUGGCUCCCCCAAAGGCUCAAAGAUCACACUACGAUCAGCCUGCCUGCCUGCAUGAGCUAUGCGAGGAACU